ensembl:lncRNA
AGCAAAUAUAAAAUAUAAAUGUAUUAUACGAAGCGGUUUGUAUUUGUCUAAACGGAACUACUGAAAACAUUGUAACAUCUCCUAUUAGCGCUUAAUGUUUUUUUUAGGCUGUGAACCAACAGUCUAAAGACUCUAUACAAGAGAAUCCAGUCUAAAAACAAACUCUUGAAUAUCAAUAAGCAAGUUAAAGUGGAAGCUGAACAACUGGAAUAUGAAUAAAUGUUACAACACUGUAGCCUUGUUGUACUUCUAAACUAAAUCUAAAGCCUCACUGUGUUUUUAUCCCCUUUCCUACAGAAACACAACUUUUACUGACACUUUUAUCCAAAGUGACUACCAUUCAAGACAGGAUACAACUGAGCAGGUGUUGCUUAAGGACUUAAACUUGGUGGUGGUGAUGAUAUGUGAGCUCACAAACUUCUAAUCAGUGGUUCAAAGUCUUAACCACUGAGCUACCACGUCUCUAACCCACUACUGGGUGGCUGUGAUAUUGCAGUAAGCAAUUCUUCCUGGACAGCGUCUUAGGACUAGGCGAGGGUAGACGACCACCUUGGGUCCCGAGAAGCCUAGGGCCUAUAUAUUUUUAAUAAUUAAUGCUAAACAAGGUAUGCUGAAGAUUUAAAUAUCAGUGUUAAAACACUAAAACUAUAGCCCCGAUCGUAUAUAUUUUGCCUAGGGCCACCAAAUCACUCAUUUCCCCCCUGUCUGUGUAUGCUGGUGAGGAGGCAGGAAUACACUGUUUAGUGUUUGAAUGUAACCUUCAAACAUUCUUUAUUAAGUGCAGAAUUGUUCAGCAGUGGCCUGUCUCACAGCCAUACCCUCUAAUUCAGGAGUGCCCAGUCUUAUCCGGAAAGGGCCAGUGUGGGUGCAGGAUAAGCAGUGGUACACUGGGUAGUGCUGCCACCUCACAGCCCCAUGGUCCCUGGUUUGACCCUGAGCUGUCUGUGUGGGUCCCAGAAACGUGCUGGUAGGUGACCUGGCUAUGCUAAAGUACCCCUAGGUGUGAAGGAGUGUGUGUGCCUGAUACCCUGUGAUGGACUAGUGUAACCAUGCCUAGUGUUCCUGGGAAACUCUGCCUCCCACUGCCUCCCUGACUAGGAUAAAGCUCUUACUCAUGAAUAAUGAAUGAACAUGAGAAAUAUGAUCACUGUACCGUUUGCACGCGCAUCUUAGCACUCGGUUCCAGUUAGAAACGAAUCCUUGACUGGAUUGUGAAUACAGCUGAAGAGGACGAGAAAAUGAUAGUAAAUAAUAAGUGUACAUCACCUGAGUAUAACUGUCUCGCUGUCCUUCUCUCCAUGUCCUGGAAAGAAACAAUGUCCUUCCUGUCCAGCUACACAGCUCUUCCCCUGCAGUGACUAUCUCAUUUCCUGCCUGCGAUUCACACAUCCUCAUGAUGAGCU